rnacentral:tRNA from 1 species
GGGGUGUUAGCUCAGCGGUAGAGCGCUAUCUUCACACGGUAGAUGUCGCUGGUUCGAAUCCAGCACACCCCACCA